GCCGACGUAGCUCAGUUGGUAGAGCAUCUGAUUUGUAAUCAGAGGGUCGGGGGUUCGAAUCCCUUCGUCGGCU
rnacentral:tRNA from 1 species